CAACCCCCAAGCCCUGGCCGCUUGGUGUUGGAGCCCUACGGCAGCACGCCGUAGGCUCCGAAAAUCAGUGGCGGGCCCGCUGGAAUCCCGAACGCAGUAGCUUAGUUCUCGUUCAGGGCGUCUCGGCGGGUCUCUAGCCGUAAAACCCCCACUACAGAAAGG
rnacentral:misc_RNA from 1 species